rfam:Yokenella regensburgei ATCC 43003 genomic scaffold Scfld157, whole genome shotgun sequence.
UUUUCCGUGUUGAAUCUUGUUAAAACAAGCAAAGUAACGGAAUGACCCAUUUUGUCUGACCGAUCGACCACGCGGCAAUGGCGUAAGACGUAUUGAUCUUUCAGACAGUUAGCGGGCUGCGGGUUGCAGUCCUUACCGGUAGACGGAAUCUUCUCUGGUGAUAAUUUCCCAGACAGUUCCCCAGUUAAUUGCACUGUUUUUCCGUUUGAAAUACAGGCAGCCGACACUCUGCGCCUCUUAAGCGUACGACAACCGUGAGGUUGGCGACGUCAAUAGUCACGAGGCCAUCGGUACAUCCCCGGAAAGGCAUUACUCUGCCCGCAGCUUAGUCGUCAA